UACGAAGGGGGCGAGCGUUGUUCGGAUUUACUGGGCGUAAAGGGCGCGCAGGCGGCUUCAUAUGUCAGGCGUGAAAGCCCCGGGCUUAACCUGGGAGGUGCGUUUUGAUACGGUGGGGCUGGAGUUCGGGAGAGGAGCGUGGAAUUCCCAGUGUAGAGGUGAAAUUCGUAGAUAUUGGGAAGAACACCGGUGGCGAAGGCGGCGCUCUGGACCGAGACUGACGCUGAGGCGCGAAAGCGUGGGGAGCAAACAGGG
rnacentral:rRNA from 1 species